rnacentral:rRNA from 1 species
GGCGCCAGGCGCGGAAACUUUGCAAUAGGCGAAAGCCUGACGGGGCUAUCCCGAGUGCCAUCCGCUGAGGAAGGCUUUUACCCAGUCUAGAACGCUGGGGGAAUAAGGAGAGGGCAAGUCUGGUGUCAGCCGCCGCGGUAAUACCAGCUCUUCUAGUGGUGUGGAUGUUUAUUGGGCCUAAAGCAUCCGUAGCUGGCUAAGUUAGUCCCUUGUUAAAUCCACCGAAUUAAUCGUUGGAUCGCGGGGGAUACUGCUUGGCUAGGGGACGAGAGAGGCAAACGGUAUUUUCGGGGUAGGGGUGAAAUCCUAUAAUCCCGGGAAGACCACCAGUGGCGAAGGCUGUCUGCUAUAACGCGCCCGACGGUAAGGGAUGAAAGCUGGGGGAGCGAACCGGAUUAGAUACCCGGGUAGUCCCAGCUGUAAACGAUGCAAACUAGGUGUUUGAACGGCCACGUGCCGUUCUAGUGCCGCAGGGAAGCUGUUAAGUCUGCCGCCUGGGGAGUACGAUCGCAAGAUUGAAGCUUAAAGGAAUUGGCGGGGGAGCAC